rnacentral:rRNA from 1 species
AUUGAACGCUGGCGGCAUGCUUUACACAUGCAAGUCGAACGGUAACAGGGUGCUUGCACCGCUGACGAGUGGCGAACGGGUGAGUAAUGCGUCGGAACGUGCCGAGUAGUGGGGGAUAACGCAGCGAAAGUUGUGCUAAUACCGCAUACGUACUGAGGUAGAAAGUGGGGGACCUUCGGGCCUCACGCUAUUCGAGCGGCCGACGUCUGAUUAGCUAGUAGGUGAGGUAAAGGCUCACCUAGGCGACGAUCAGUAGCGGGUCUGAGAGGAUGGUCCGCCAUACGUGGACUGAGACACGGACCAGCCUCCGACGGGAGGCAGCAGUGGGGAAGUUUGGACAAUGGGCGAAAGCCUGAUCCAGCCAUGCCGCGUGUCUGAAGAAGGCCUUCGGGUUGUAAAGGACUUUUGUCAGGGAGGAAAUCCCUAGUGCUAAUAACACUGGGGGAUGACAGUACCUGAAGAAUAAGCACCGGCUAACUACGUGCCAGCCGCCGCUGUAA